UUCUUAUUAAUAUAAAUUAUAAGUAUCACCUGCCCGGUGAAUUUUAAACGGUUAUAUAAUAAUACUAAGGUAGCGUAAUAAAUUAUCACUUAAUUAGUGAAUAAAAUGAAGGUUAAAUGAAUUAAAAACUGUCUCUAUUAUAAAUAAAAAAAUUAAUAAUUUAGUGAAAAAUCUUAAUUUAUUUUAAGGGACGAUAAGACCCUAUAGAACUUAUUUAAAAUAUUAAAUUUACUGGGGAAGUAAAAAUAAAAUCAAAACUAUUUUUUAAGUUAAAAACCAUUAGUAUUAUCCAUUAUAUUAUGAUUAAAAAGKUACCUUAGGGAUAACAGCAUUAAUAAUAUAAGAAGUCCUUAUUUUAAUAUUCUUUAAUGACCUCGAUGUUGAAUUAAGAUUAAUUAGUAAAGCAAAAAUUUCUUUCAAUUAGGUCUGUUCGACCUUUAAAAUUUU
rnacentral:rRNA from 1 species